AUAUAUCCAUCAUUUAAGUCCAUCAUUUCUUAAACAUCUUGAAAUAACUAAUGCUAAUUAAUAAUAAACUUUUGGCUGGCAAAAAAAACAAAUUUGUCUAAUUAUCGCUUAAAUAUUUUAUUAAUAUUGUCUAAGAAGCUUUCAAUUGAUAUCAUAGUUUAAUUUUUAUUAGUUUUUUUUGUUAAUUCUAGAUUUUUUUUGUAUUUAAGAUUUUUUUCAUAUUAAGCUUAUAUUUCUUUCACAUAAUAUAUAUAUGUCAUAAAAAUUACCAUCAAAUAAGU
rnacentral:lncRNA from 1 species